UGGGGGAUAUUGCACAAUGGGGGAAACCCUGAUGCAGCGACGCCGCGUGAGGGAAGACGGUUUUCGGAUUGUAAACCUCUGUCUCCGAGGACGAUAAUGACGGUACUCGGGGAGGAAGCCACGGCUAACUACGUGCCAGCAGCCGCGGUAAUACGUAGGUGGCAAGCGUUGUCCGGAAUUACUGGGUGUAAAGGGAGCGCAGGCGGGAGCAUAAGUCAAGUGUUAAAACGAUCGGCUCAACCGAUCGUCGCGCUUGAAACUAUGCAUCUUGAGUGAAGCAGAGGCAGGCGGAAUUCCUAGUGUAGCGGUGAAAUGCGUAGAUAUUAGGAGGAACACCAGUGGCGAAGGCGGCCUGCUGGGCUUUAACUGACGCUGAGGCUCGAAAGUGUGGGGAGCAAACA
rnacentral:rRNA from 1 species